rnacentral:rRNA from 1 species
GAUGAACGCUGGCGGCGUGCCUAAUACAUGCAAGUCGAGCGAACAGAUGAGGAUCUUGCUCCUCUGACGUUAGCGGCGGACGGGUGAGUAACACGUGGAUACCCUACCUAUAAGACUGAGAUAACUUCAGGCCACCGGAGCUAAUACCGGAUAAUAUAUUGAACCGCAUGGUUCACUAGUGAAAGACGGUUUUGCUGGCACUUAUAGAUGGAUCCGCGCCGCAUUAGCUAGUUGGUAAGGUAACGGCUUACCAAGGCACCGAUGCGUAGCCGACCUGAGAGGGUGAUCGGCCACACGGGAACUGAGACACGGUCCAGACUCCUACGGGAGGCAGCAGUAGGGAAUCUUCCGCAAUGGGCGAAAGCUUGACGGAGCAACGCCGCGGGAGGGAUGAAGGUGUUCGGAUCGUAAAACUCUGUUAUUAGGGAAGAACAAAUGUGCAAGUAACUAUGCACGUCUUGACGGUACCUAAUCAGAAAGCCCCGGCUAACUACGUG